AUUGAUUGUGACAUUGUCUCAAAACACAACAAUAGGUAUUAACAGCGAACAUGGAGGUAAUGCAUCUUUUGCUGAUAUGGCUAGCACGGCAGGCAAUAGAAAGCGCCCAUACCUAGCAAUAUCAUAAUCAUAUGAACAUUUUUUUAUGGGAUCAUCCACUUCCUUGUUCCACCAUUUAGUGUUGUCAAAUGUGGCAUGAAUUAGGAUAAAUAAUUGUGAAUGAUUGUGAUUGUGUAUAAUAUAAAUUUGUGUUUGGAUUAGCAGAUGUGAAUCCAACAUUGACACGAUCUACUCCACCUAUUCAGGAGUAGGUUGCCUAAGAUGCUCCUCGUUCUGCAAUUCGCUGUUGAGAUUCCCAAUCUUGUGCUUGUGAUCCCAUAUCCAUUGGAAGGGCAGGGGCAGGUUGCCUGAUUUGUUUGAUAAACUUUGAGAUCCCAACUACCUCUCUUUCUCCCUUCUCUCUGUUCUGCUAUACCCUUUUGCUAUCUCACCUACCCUUUUGCAACCACUCAUGACCUUAGCCCUCAAAAUUGCAGAUGAUGAAGAUGAGUUUGUUGGGUGCUGGCCUUGCUGGGUCAGCGGGUCUAGAUCUGCGGGAUCGGGACAUCAACAAUCUUCUGCUUGGAUGAUGUAAUCCUAUGUUUGAGCUGGUGCAUUUGCUGCUUGGGUUUGCUGAAGCUGGGCAAUGGUUGGUUCUAGUUUUACCUGUUGUAAGCAACUGACUGGUAUUGUUGGUUGUGGCUGGUGUUGCUAGUGUUGCUGGCUGUUGUUGCUACUGUUUGGCUACUUACUCUAUUGGGAAACAAUACUGCUAUAGCUGGAAUGUUAGCUGGGGCUCUUGUUGCUGCUGCAGCUGGUGCAACUGAUACUAUUGGUUGAUGCUGCUGUUGUGGACUGCCUGCUCUGUUGGAAACUGUUUUAUUGUUUUAUUUUUUUUCCUGGCUGGAUUUGUCUCGUACAAUUUGUUGGUUGUUGGAGCUAUUUUGGAUGUUCCUUCUAUUUUGGUUGUUUGUUUUGUUUUGUUUGCUGUCUGUCUUUAGCUUUCUUAGCUUCCCUUUAUGAGCUUUUUCUUCUUGUGGUCCUUUUUUGGAUGGUUGGAAGUGAAAUGUAUGCAAAUUGCAGAAUGGUUGAUAAUAUAUGUAUUGUGUUUAUUUA